UCGUUCGAUCACCGAAGCUAAGCAUCGUAGAGCCAGGUCAGUACUUAGAUGGGGGACCGCUGUGGAACACCUGAUACUGUAAG